rnacentral:rRNA from 1 species
UACAGAGGGUGCAAGCGUUAAUCGGAAUGACUGGGCGUAAAGGGUGAGUAGGUUGUGAAGUAAGUUAGAUGUGAAAUUCCAGGGCUUAACCUUGGCUUGUCAUUUAAAACUGCUUGACUAGAGUUUGAGAGAGGUAAGUGGAAUUUCCGGUGUAGCGGUGAAAUGCGUAGAUAUCGGAAGGAAUAUCAGUUGCGAAGGCGACUUACUGGCUUAAAACUGACACUGAGUCACGAAAGCGUGGUUAGCGAACAGG